rnacentral:lncRNA from 1 species
UGUAUGAUUGUCUACAUUGGAUUGCGUGUUGUUGAUUGAUGAUCGGGUAUAGACGGUGAGCGAUACGUUGGUGAGCAAGAUCAAGUCUUUGAAGACCAGCAGGCUCAGGAGAGCUUUGAUCAAGGCAAGUAUAACUUGGGAUCAUCCUUGUUACCUAUACACAAUUAAUACGUUAUAUAUCAUAUGCAUGCUUUCACCUUGAUAACCUUAGCAAAAUCAUAGAUGAUUGUUAUCCUGAAUUCCUUAUUACCUAUUUGGAUAUGCAUUUGGGUAGUUCUUGCUAGAGCUUGAUUAUUAAUCCAUGAUCUUGUAACAUGAAUAUUUGAAUAUACAAUAAACAAUAAAAUAAGCUUUCUAGCAACUUGAAUAUAAAGGGUGGAAAGAACUCUAGCUUUUGCUAGAUUGAUCUUGACCCUCCAUAAGGACUUAUCCCUUGGCAAAAGCUGGGACAACUCGUACAACCAUGAGGGCUAUAAUGGCUCUGGCUUUAGCUCAGUAUGAGGACCUUUUUCUAGCUUGUUAGCGGUUACCUUAAAUGGCGUAAGAAUGGCUAGACACGUUGGGUAUAGUGUGGCUUCUGUCCAUGUGUAUAGGCUGCGAGUUAUGUGCCAUGGAAGGGGGGCUCUAUAUCUGCCUGCCGAGUGAAUCUAAUGGCCCUAACUUGUUAGAUGAAACCUUUAAAAGGCUUCAUAGUAAUCCCUGCCGACCUCCCUAGGAAGGGGGUUAAGAGACUUGCAACCUCGGGCGAAAGGGUAAAUCACGACUCAUGGGUAAAGAUGUACAACCUCUGCAGAGUGUUAAAUCUGGUAUACUAGCCGUGCCCACGGAUACGGGCGGCCCGGAAAACUGACGGAAUAGGCGGACUCUGAUGAACAUGACUAAUGAUGAUAAAUGAUGGUUUAUUAUGUUGUUUAUAUGUGUUAUUCUUAAUUCUUGUAUACAUUGAUCAUGUGGUUAUGGGAUUUAGUAUGCUACCUUGAUAUUGCUAUCCAAUGAUUAAAUAUGUUAUCUACUAUUAAAAGCUAAAUGCAGUUAAACCAGUGUCAGCCAUUUGAGCCUCAUGAACCCCUGGUUAUACUUGUUGAGUACGAUAUGUGCUCACUCUUGCAAUUUUCCCCCACACCUCAGGAGAAGUUUUGGGCUUGUGAUCAACCAGUCAGUUGGAUCCUGUGGAGAGGAGUUAAUACCCGAAGUUUAAAGUUGUCUAUCCGCUGUUUGCUAUUAAAGGUUAUCUCUUUAAUAUUAUGUACGUUAUAUAUUUAUGCAUUGUUCUUUGAUAUUAACCCUUAUUUGUAGCUAUAUGUGAGAUUUGAAUUCUAAAAUUCACAUAUGGUGCAUAUCUGGUUUUGUCCUUAAAAUCGGGUAUUACAAAGUGGUAUCAGAGCACAAAAAUUCAUAAUUAAAUCAUUUU